GCUCACAUCUAACCUAAUGUGUCCCUGCUGCUGAGCCCUACCGGAAGCUUUUAAACCCAAAAGUCAUCAUCAUGUGCAUGGAGCACCUUGGAGAGAGUCCCAGGGGCAGCCUUCACCCAGCUGUCUGUCCCUCUGGAUCAGUGACACAUUAGAGGGUCGAGUCCCAGCCUCAUUGGAAGCAGGUAUAAGUGAAGAAUUGUCAGACAUGAUCACCAGUCUUGUGGAAAACUCUAAAUUGUACCUCUCUGUCAAUCAUCACUACAGCACAGCUAGCUGGGGUACACAGAAUGUGAGUGACUGGAGUAAUCAUGAUCUCAUCCACGACAAUUCCCUUCAGGAUGCUACCCUCAGGAGGUGUCCUUCUGCAAGGUCCUUUUAGGACUGAAUAAGCUUAUCACACUGUCCCAUGGCCCAGUAAUACAGAGCCUUAUAGUACAGAACUGCUAAGAAAGCUGUGUGUUUUGUGAGGUGCAAUCUGAGUGUCGAGGCAAGACAAUUGCAAAGACAGAUGAGCCGACUCUAAAAAUAGUCUGCAGAAAGCAGCGGAGACACACUAUCCCCACAUGUUGUCGGAGUAUCUGCAAGUUUUAAA